AUUGAACGCUGGCGGCAGGCUUAACACAUGCAAGUCGAACGAGUGGCGGACGGGUGAGUAAUGUCUGGGAAACUGCCUGAUGGCGGGGGAUAACUACUGGAAACGGUAGCUAAUACCGCAUACCAGCGGAUGUGCCCAGAUGUGAUUGGCAAGCGGGUGGGGUGAAGGCUCACCUAGGCGAAGAUCCCUAGCUGGUCUGAGAGGUUGACCAGCCACACUGGAACUGUGACACGGUCCAGACUCCUAGGGGAGGCAGCAGUGGGGAAUAUUGCACAAUGGGCGCAAGCCUGAUGCAGCCAUGCCGCGUGUAUGAAGAAGGCCUUCGGGUUGUAAAGUACUUUCAGCGGGGAGGCGUUACCCGCAGAAGAAGCACCGGCUAACUCCGUGCCAGCAGCCGCGGUAAUAC
rnacentral:rRNA from 1 species